GUCUCCAUAGCUCAAUGGAUAGAGCGCAGGCCUCCGGAGCCUGAAAUGCAGGUUCGACUCCUGCUGGGGACA
rnacentral:tRNA from 1 species